rnacentral:tRNA from 1 species
CGCGCAGUGCAAGCCCCCGUUGUGUAGCGGCCUAGCACGCCGCCCUCUCAAGGCGGUAGCGCCGGUUCGAAU